UACGUAGGGGGCUAGCGUUGUCCGGAAUCAUUGGGCGUAAAGCGCGUGUAGGCGGUCCGGUAAGUCCGCUGUGAAAGUCGGGGGCUCAACCCUCGGAUGCCGGUGGAUACUGUCGGGCUUGAGUACGGAAGAGGCGAGUGGAAUUCCUGGUGUAGCGGUGAAAUGCGCAGAUAUCAGGAGGAACACCAAUUGCGAAGGCAGCUCGCUGGGACGUCACUGACGCUGAGACGCGAAAGCGUGGGGAGCAAACAGG
rnacentral:rRNA from 1 species